rnacentral:miRNA from 1 species
AGGUUGGUGCAAAAGUAAUUGCAGUUUUUGCCAUUACUUUUAAUGGAACAAGCUGCAAUAACUUUUUGCACCAAUCUA